rnacentral:rRNA from 1 species
UGGGGAAUUUUGGACAAUGGGGGAAACCCUGAUCCAGCCAUCCCGCGUGUGCGAUGAAGGCCUUCGGGUUGUAAAGCACUUUUGGCAGGAAAGAAACGUCGCGGGUUAAUACCCCGCGAAACUGACGGUACCUGCAGAAUAAGCACCGGCUAACUGCGUGCCAGCAGCCGCGGUAAUACGUAGGGUGCAAGCGUUAAUCGGAAUUACUGGGCGUAAAGCGUGCGCAGGCGGUUCGGAAAGAAAGAUGUGAAAUCCCAGAGCUUAACUUUGGAACUGCAUUUUUAACUACCGGGCUAGAGUGUGUCAGAGGGAGGUGGAAUUCCGCGUGUAGCAGUGAAAUGCGUAGAUAUGCGGAGGAACACCGAUGGCGAAGGCAGCCUCCUGGGAUAACACUGACGCUCAUGCACGAAAGCGUGGGGAGCAAACAGGAUUAGAUACCCUGGUAGUCCACGCCCUAAACGAUGUCAACUAGCUGUUGGGGCCUUCGGGCCUUGGUAGCGCAGCUAACGCGUGAAGUUGACCGCCU